rnacentral:rRNA from 1 species
UACGUAGGGGGCAAGCGUUGUCCGGAAUUAUUGGGCGUAAAGCGCGCGCAGGCGGCCUUGUAAGUCUGUUGUUUAAACUUGGGGCUCAACUCCAAGUCGCAAUGGAAACUGCAAAGCUUGAGUACAGAAGAGGAAAGUGGAAUUCCACGUGUAGCGGUGAAAUGCGUAGAGAUGUGGAGGAACACCAGUGGCGAAGGCGACUUUCUGGGCUGUAACUGACGCUGAGGCGCGAAAGCGUGGGGAGCAAACAGG